rnacentral:lncRNA from 1 species
UACCUCUUAACGGAGUGCUUCUAAACUGUGGCAUCACCCGUGAGGUCUCACAGAUACACAGUCCUGGUACGCAAUACAAGUACUAGUGAAUUGGUUUCCAAUUUAUACCCACAGUUGAAAAUCUCAUCAGACCUCUGUGUUGCCCAGGUGGUAUCUUCUGAACACAUGCAAGUUCUGAGUAUUUUGGGGUUUUUUUGGGCGGGGUGGGGGAUUAAGACUGAAAAA